UAUUAAUUUCAGGGACCCUGUGUUACGUGUGUUUUAAGAGUGAAAAUGCACCUGUGUUUGAUUAGCAAGACUGGAGGUGCAUUUAAAUCGUGUCUCUGCUAAAAUCCGAAGCUUGGCUUUAGAGCGACUGAGUACGCGCAGUGUUUAAUAGCGGAAGAUCGGACUUGCUGAAAAAAAUACAGUAGCUUGGUUGGAAAACCUCGGUCAUUUUAAAAGAGGGAACCCGCUUCUGAUUUAAUAAGGACCGGAUCGGGAGGAAUAUCUCAGAUUCCCACUGAUUUUAUUAUAAUGUCUGCGCAGCUCGCUCCGUGAAUGCAAGGCGUAAUGUUAGCGUGGGAUUUUGUGUUUAAAAUGAUUACAAUCUAUCGUCCCUACUUCCUCAUUCCCAUCGCCCGGCAUUGCAACAGCGAAGCAAUAUCUCAUUUUCCCUCUGCCACUGUGUGUACUCACACCGAGACUACAGCUUUGUGCGUUCUCUCUCUCUCUCUUCUAUUCUUCCCUCUCCCCCUCUCCUAUUCUUACUUUCCCCACCCCAUACAGUCCUGGGAGAUGUUAAUCCCCAGCCGCCCUCCCCGAAUUUGCCAGCGAUGGUUUCUGCCCGCUCUGUUAUCUGCAUGUGCACUCUAGUGUAAGCAGACCCACAAAACCUCCCCGGCGUUUGCAAGCGGAGGGCUUUCUGAAAUGGAUUGUUUCAGUGAAUGAGAUUUUCUCAGCCGGGUCCGGAGCUUGUUGUAGAACGCGGGAGUGUCAGCUUCUUUCCUCACUGGUAUCCACUUUAAGAGCCAGGCAUUGCUGGAACCUUUGCGUUCGCUAUUGAAAUGGAGUGGUCUCGGAGCCGCAUGGAACUCGGUGUAUUCUCUUCAAAUAAGUUGCAUUGCAGUAUUGAUCUGGCAGCGCACUUGUUGACGCCGAUGGCCCGGCCGCUCACCCCCUCCCUUCGCGGCUUGCCGCUCCUGUUGCCCCUGCUCGUCGCCCUGUACCCGGUGCCCGGCUGCGUGGCGCAGGGCUCGGUGAAGUUCACCUUCCCGGAGGAGCAGCCGCCCAACACGCUGAUCGGUAACCCGGGCGAGACACUGGGUCUGGAGCGAGAGAACCGGCUAUUCAAGUUGGAAAUGGGCCAGCCUUACCUCCGGGUGGACGAGACGGGAGGCAACCUCUACACCACCGAGACCCCCAUCGACCGCGAGCAGAUGAUGUGCGAGAGCCCCACCGAGUGCCAGCUAGAGUUCGAGAUCUCGGUCACCGACACCUUGUACAACACUGCCACAGUGCUCGUGGAAGGCAAGAUUUCGGUGCAGGACAUUAACGACAACACUCCCACGUUCAGCUCUCCGGUCAUCUCCAUCUCCAUUCCGGAACACACACCUCCGGGGACUCUGGUCAAUAUCCCCACGGCCAGCGACCGCGACUCCGGCACUAACGGAGUCGCCGGCUACGAACUGUUGGGCAACGAGGGACAGGGUCUGUUCAGCCUACAGGUGGCCGAGGAACAUGGCGAGAAGUUGCCUCAGCUGAUCGUCACCGGCUCGCUGGACAGGGAGCAACGGGACACUUACGAUCUGACUGUGCGGGUGGUAGACGGGGGUCAGCCACCCCGGAGCAGUACCUCGGUGUUGCGGGUUACCGUGCUGGACAUUAACGACAACGCACCCCGCUUCGAGAGGUACGCCUACCAAGGAACGGUAGAGGAGAACAGCCCCGCCGGUACCUCCAUCCUGCAGGUGAGAGCUACCGAUAUGGACAUGGGAGAGAACUCCCGCAUCGAGUACACUUUCGCCCAGGCGGCGGAUAAUGCCCGCCGUCUACUCCGCCUGGACAAGAACACCGGCUGGAUCACGGUGCAGGGACCGGUGGACCGUGAGCAAUUCAGCCAAUUCCGGUUCUACGUGCACGCCCGCGACAAGGGCCCCAUACCCAAACAGGACAGGGCGUCGGUGGUGAUCACGGUGCGGGACACUAACGACAACGCGCCGGCGAUCGAAAUCCGAGGCAUCGGGCUGGUCACUCACCGGGACGGCGUGGCCAGCAUUGACGAGGACGCGCCUGUCGACUCCCCCGUGGCUCUUGUCCAAGUUUCGGACCGCGACGAGGGGGAGAACGCGGCGGUGACUUGUAUAGUGGCCGGGGACGUCCCUUUCCAGCUGAAGCCCGCCAGUGAGUCGAGCAGUGAAAAGAAGAAGAAGUUCUUUCUGCAGACCACCACCGCCCUGGACUACGAGAAGGUGCGCGAGUACCUGAUCCAGAUCGUGGCAGUGGAUUCGGGCAACCCACCUCUUUCCAGCACCAACACUCUAAAGGUGAAGGUGGUGGAUGUGAACGACAACGCGCCCAGCUUCGCGCAGAGCCGCAUGCAGGUGGGAAUCUUGGAGAAUAACCGGCCCCCCACCUCGCUGCUGCGUGUGGAGGCCACGGACGCCGAUAGCGGAAGCAACGCCGAGCUACUCUACUCCCUAUAUCCCGACCCGGCCAUCCAGAACUUGUUCCAGAUUAACCCGGACACGGGCGAGGUGAGAGCCAUCUCGGUGCUGGACCGCGAGCAGAGGGAGCGCUACGAGUUCAAAGUCGCUGCCGCCGACAAGGGGACCCCUAGUCUGAAGGGGACGGCCACAGUGGUGGUCAAUGUGCUGGACGAGAACGACAACGAUCCCCGGUUCAUGCUUAACGCCUAUAACUUCUCGGUGCGGGAGAAUUUGCCCCCGUCCAGUCCAGUGGGCAUGGUGACGGUGACGGACCUGGACAAGGAGUCGAAUGCGCGGUUCACCCUGUUCGUAGAACCGGAUAAUGGCGAGUUUGAGAUCCAGAACGGCACGGGUACCAUACUCUCUCGGAUCUCCUUCGACCGGGAGCGCCAGAGCACCUACACCUUCCAGCUGAAGGCAAUAGACAGCGGAAUGCCCCCCAGGUCCGCCUAUGUCAGUGUUAUCAUUAAUGUUUUGGAUGAAAACGACAACACACCCUUCAUCACCCAACCAUCCAAUUCCUCCUUCCAACACAUCAGUCCUCUCACCUCCAUUGGCACAACAGUAGAACGAGUCAAGGCCGAAGACAUGGACAUUGGCCCCAAUGCCAACUUGACUUAUGAGAUCGUUGGAGGUAAUCCCUUUGACCUGUUCCGCAUCUCUGCUGUCGGGAACGUGACCCUGGAGAAGGAACUCGUGCGCAGGCACUACGGGUUGCACCGGCUUGUGGUUCAGGUUAGGGAUGGGGGCACGCCAGCCCGCUUCGCCACCGCUUUGGUUCACUUGUAUGUCAACGACACCAUGGCCAACGUUAGCCUGGUGGAAGCCCUGGUGGGCCACAGCCUCAACACUCCGCUGAACGUAGACAUCGCCGGAGACCCCGAGUACGAGAAGAGCAAGCAACGGAGCAACGUCCUAUUCGGAGUGAUCGCUGGGAUUAUCGCAGUCACGCUGGUGAUCGUGGUGGUGGUCCUGAUCCGCUACUGUAGGCAGAAGGAAGCCAAGAGUGGAUACCAGGCCGGCAAAAAGGAAACCAAGGAUUUGUACACACCCAAACAGACCAAUAAAAAUACCAAGCACAAAGUUAAGAAAAGCAAGCCAUCCAAACCCUCCAAACCUCUGGACGCCGAGGAGAGCGGCGCCCAGAGGGGAUUACAAUUCAACUUGAUCAACGAAUCGAGCACUGACAGUCCACGGAUUCACCUGCCGCUGAACUGUAACCCGGGUAGCCCCGACCUAGGGAGACACUACAGGUCGAACUCUCCUCUCCCUUCCAUCCAGCUGCACCCGCAGUCCCCGACUGCGGGGAAAAAGCACCAAGUCGUGCAAGACCUGCCCGCAGCCAACACCUUCGUCGGGACUGGGGACAGCAACUCUACUGGCUCGGACCAGUACUCAGAUUACAGCUACAAGACCAAUCCGCCGAAGUACAACAAACAGAUGCUGCUCAACCCUCAGAGUUCCUCCAGCAGAUUGCUUGCUGCUCCAGAGUCCACCAUCAUGGGAAUACCUUCACCAGAAGGACUUCAGUGGUUCAAGAAGGUGGCUCCUCACCACUUUCACAGGGGCAGUUAAGGAUGGACAAUAAACUCUGGCCUUGUUAAUGAUGCCCGAAUCCCCCAUAAUCUGAACAAAUAAAAUUCAAUAUUUAUUCAGUAACUUCAACAUGCGUGACUAAUUAUCAUUAUUAAUAACUGGCAGGUGUUCAAAUUAACAUUGAAUAAAACAAAUUGCUGAUCUCAAGAUGAGGUCUAAAUAUGGAAGAGAAAGAUUGGCUUUCUUUGUCACAUGUACGGUACUAUGCAAAGUCUUAUGUACCCGUAAAACAACCCUGUAAAGUGAAAUCGCUUUCAAAAAUAAUGAAAUGAAAAGUUUCUAAAUAUCAAAAAAAAUUACUAGAAGGAGCAAUAAACAGUAAAAAGAACAGUAAAUCAAAUCAAUAUUUGAUGUGACCAGCCUUUGCCUCUAAAACUCCAUUAAUUCUCUUAGAUACACUGUUGUGCAGUUUUAUUGGAAAAUUGGCUGGUAGGUUGUUCCAAGCAUCUUGGAGAAUUUGCCACAGUUUUUUGCAGACUUUGGCUGUCUCUGUCUUUCUAGGUAAUCCCAGAUAGUCUAGAUGAUGUUGAGAUCAGGGCUGUGGAAGCCAUAGCAUCUGAAACUAUAUAAAGAAUCAGAGGUGCCUAAGACUUUUGCACGGUACUGCAUAUCAAAAUAUACAGGGAGAUGUGUCACUUGCAUCAUAUCAAAUCAGCGAGGGUUGUGCUGUGUAGCCCACAAAUGCUUCUUAUGCUAACAUAGCAUGCCCGCAGCCCUCUAACCCUAACCUGUAUGCCUUUGGAAUGUGGGAAAAUACCAGAGCGUGCGGAGGAAACACACGUGGUCACAGGGAGAACAAGCAAACUCUUCACAGGCCGUGGUGGAAAUUGAAUCCUGAUUAUUGAUGCUGUAAAGUGAUUGUGUUAACUCUCUGCUACCCUGCCAUCCCGAGCGAAAGGGAAGGAACGCUUCAUGGACUUGCAUGUAGGAAACACAUGGUUGGACAAAAUGCAACAUGCACCACUCUGGUCAUGAUAGUCCUCAGGGACUGAACCGCUAGUGCUUUGAGAUUCGUGAAGAGGUAAGGAGAUACCUGACUACCAGCGAGGUCUGAGUGAAGGAAACGGAAAGUAACUAAGGCAGCAGCAAAGGCACUGGGGUGCCAUGAUGGGAGAGACGGGAGCCAAAGGAACGCUGAGAGCGAGAGAAGCCGCUGAUGGAAAGGUCCGAGGGGGGACACUCCCCACCUCCUCCAGCCCUCCUCCACUGUGCAGGAAGCUUUGAGAGACUUGACGAGGAUCGGAACUGACCGCCGCUGUGUGUUCACAGAACUGAUCAUCACAGAACUGCAUUUGAAUGGACGGUACAGAGAAAAGGCCAUCAGGUUUUGGCUUAUCUAUUCUGGUCUUUAUGCUUCACAUGAGCUGCCUCUUUCCACUGCUGUCCCGUUCCCUCACCACCUCCACUCCAUCUACUCCUGGCUCCAAAAUCCAGCUUCACCUUGACUGUGUCUCUGCUAUUUACCUGUGGCUGCAGAUUUCACCUUCUCUCAACUUCUCUGGGUAACGGAUUACCUGAUGGAUGUAUGGGUGAUUCUCUCUUGUAAUUAUGGACUCACCUUUUUUGUCUUCACAAGUCAAGGGAACAUCUACAGUUUUUGUCACUUUUAAAGAAUCCUCCUCGGUUCACCCACCCCUCGUCAAAUACAUUUGUUUGAACACUGAUAUGUCUGUGUCCUGUCCCCUACAGGUGCAACUGUGCAAUAAACGUGAUGGCUGCGAUUUUUACAAGAAUGAAUUUAAACUUUGCUGACACAAAUCAUUUGAUGUUCUAGCCAUGUAUGGAUUUUUUAUUUUAUUCAGACACACUUGCCUGCCAUGGCUUAGAUCUCACUGGAGUGCAGUUCCUUGAAUUGAUCACCAGUCAAUAAGGACUACACGUGCUCAGCACUAAAAUUUUCUGGGAUAUUCCUCACUGUUGUUCUUCCCCGGUAUUCACCUUCACUCUGGAAAGUUUGGCUUUUGAGAACACCAGUUUUGCCUUCUUCACUUUCCCUUCACUAAUUAAAAUAAAAUUUACUUCCAUUUUGAGUACCACCCUUAGCAAGUCCAGUCCAGUCAAUUCUAUUUGUCGUAUGCACAAUUAUGGUGAGCUACAGGGACAAUGAAAACUUACUGACAGCAACACCUAGAUUCAGACACACAGAAAACAUGAGUCGUACAUAACUUGUACAAGACAGUGAAGAAAAAUAACUGUGCAAGAGGAGAUAUUCCAAUCAUGCAAGAGGUGUUGUGUAGCCCGUCAGUUCAGGACCUGAAUGGUGUAGACACACCAACAUAUCUCGGAGCUUUGGAGAGCUACUCUCAAACAAAGCUUAACUUCGCACAACUUGAGCGAUUGUACUGGGAGCAAUUGUGUGCCCCUUAUCUAAGAAAGGAUGUGCUGGCAUUGGAGAGGGUCCAGAGAAGGUUGAGAAGAAAGAUCCCAGGAAUGAAACAGUUUAUGUAUGAAGAGCGAAUGGUGGCUCUGGGCCUGUACAUGCUGGAGUACAGAAGAAUUAAGAGGGAUCUCAUUGAAACCUAUAGAGUAGUGAAAGGCCUUGAUAGAUUGGACCUGGAGAGGAUGUUUCCAAUAGUUAGGGAGUCUAGGACCAGAGAGCACAGCUUCAGAAUACAAGGACAUUCCUUCAGAAAGGAGAUGAAGAGGAAUUUCUUUAAUCAGAGGGUGGUGAAUUUGUGGAAUUUUUUGCCACAGAUGACUGUGGAAGCCAAGUCAUUGGGUAUAUUUAAAGCAGAGAUUGAUAAGUUCUUGAUUAGUAAGAACAUCCAAAGUUAUGGGGAAAAGAUAGGAGAAUGGGGUUGAGAGGGAAAAUAAAUUAGCCAUGAUGAAAUGGUGGAGCAGAUUCUAUGGGUGAAUGACCUAAUUCUGCUCUUAUGUCUUAUGGUCUAAUAUUUCAAUAUUAUUGGGCACUGAAUGGUAUAAAUUUCAAGGAAUCUUAAAGGAAGAAGAAAAUAGGCAGAGAGGUUAUGGGAGAGAAUUGCAAAGUUUUGGGCUUGGACAGUUGCAGGUAUGGCUUUUAACAGUGGACAUAUCUAUUUGGAUAAUUGAAGGGAGCUUAAGUUAUCAGUCAUAGUAACCGGAGUUGAGGAGUUUUGAUUUAAAGGGUUCCAAUCUCAUUCUGGAAGCUGGAGAAUUUAAAUUUAAAUCAUAAAACAAUUUUGAAAUUUAACAUUUAGGCAAGAAAGCUGAACUUAGUAAUAGUGAUCGUGAAACUUCUGGAUUCUCAAAGUCAAAGUAAUUUUUUUUAACCAUAGUAUGUCCUGUAUAUGUCACCAUAUACUUGAGGUUCAUUUUAUUGCAGGCAUUCACAGUAGAACAAAGAAGUGUGAUAGAAUCAAUGAAAAACUACACACAAGGAAUGACAAAAAAAAUCUUCAAAGAAGACAAACUGUGCAAAUACAAAAAAACCCUAAAAACAUGAGUUCUCGAGUCCUUGAAAGUGGGUCCAAUAAGUUCAGAGUUGAGGUGAGUGAAGUUGUCCACACUGGUUCAGGAGCCUGAUGGUUGAAGGGUAAUAACUGUUCCUGACCCUGAUGAAGUGAGACCUAUAUCUGUGAAGGACAUCUAUCACACGUGCCUGGUGUAGCCUUAUAUGACUCCGGAUAUAUUAAGUUCAAACAUUGUUAAUUAACCAUACACAUGUAUACCAACAUUUUGUGGCUGAUUCUUAAGUACCUCCUCAGCUCAAAGAGAAUUAGAAAUAAACUGUAUUUGCCAAUAAUGUUCACAUCCUUAUAAAAAUGUAAACACACAAAAUUCCGCAGAUGCUGGAAAUCCAGAAUAACACGUACAAAGUGCUGGAGGAAUUCAGCAGGUCAGGCAGCAUCUAUGGAGAGGAAUAACAAGUCAAUAUUUCAGGCCAAGAUCCCUCAUCAGGAUCGAUCCUGAUGAAAGGUAUCAGCUCAAAAUAUUGACUCUUUAUUCCUUUCCGUGGAUGCUGCCUGACCUGCUGAAUUCCUCCAGCACUUCGUGUGUGUUACACUUGGAGUCAUAUGUUGUGAUUUCUGUGAAGAUAGGUCCUUUCAUUCAUGCUUUCAUUGACACUGGGGACUGAUUUGUGUGUGGCACAGUAAAGCAAGUGCAUUAAGAAUUAUAGAAAUUGGGCUGUGAUAUUAGAGUCGUACAAAUCAUUAGUCAGAUUGCGUACUUCUGGUCGCUGCACUAUGUAAGUUUGUGAUUAGGCUAGAGAGGGUGCAGAAAAGAUUCACAUGAACUUUGGCAGCUCUGGAGGUCUUGAGUUAUAGGCUGGAUAGGCUGGGAGUAUUUUUUCUGGACGAAAGGAGGAUGAUGACCAUAUAGAAGUUUAUACAAUUAGGUGGGGUAUGGAUAGACUUGAUAGUCGUUGUCUUUUUUCCAGGGUAGGGGAGUCUAAACAAAGGGGCAUUGGUGAGAUGGGAAUAAUUUAAAAAGGACCUGACCUAAGGGUAAAAUUUUUCAAACAGAAAAUUGUGGGUAGAUGGAACAAGCUGCCAAAGGAGGUAGUAAAGGCUGGUAUAGUUACAACAUUUAAUGGACAAGUACAUAGAUAGGGAUUCCUAACCUUUCUUAUACCAUGGACCAGCACCAUUAAACAAGGGGUACGUGGAGCCCAGGCUGGAAUGCCUGUUGUAGAGGAAUAUGGGCCAAGUGCAGGCAAAUGGGAUAAGCAUAGAUAGUUUGGUCAGCAUGAACAAGUUGGGCUGAAGGGUCUGUUUUUGUGCUGUGUAACUCCAUGAACCUUCAAGUCUAUGAGAAACACAUUACCACACCAGACACCAGCAUGCCACAUAAGUGUUGCAGUGAGGGAUUCCUUACAUCAGCUCUGGAUUUUGGCUCAUCUCUCGAUCCCUCCUGUAUCUGUGUUCUCCAAGCCAGUCCAUACAGCCUCAUCGCCUGAAACACCUUGCAGAGAAAGGUACAGGGACAAGACUCUGAAUCCUCAAUUAUUAAUUCAUCAAGCAGUGCAGAACAAGGGCUGUAGCUAAAUUUCUUUGCAGUUCAAAGUUCAAAUCCAAGUUGAUUAUCAAUUGUUCAGAGAUCUAUUUUCUUGUGGGCAUUCACAGUGGAUACAGAUAAACACAAUAGAUCCAAUGAACGUCUGCACACAAACUGAUGGACAAGCAUCCAAUAUUCAAAAGAUAACAAAUAGUGCAAAUACAAAAUAUUUAAAAAAUAAUAAAUAAGUAACUAAAUAAUAUUGAAAACAUGAGUUGCAGAGUUCUUGAAAGUGAGGCCGUGGGCUGUAAAGUCAUUUCUAGGUUGGGGUGAAUGAAGUUAUCCACUUUAUUCUGAUGGUUGAGGGGUAUUAACUCUUCCUGAUCCUGGUAGUGUGGGUCCUAAGGCUCCUGUACUUUCUUCCAGAUGAGAAAUGAGAAGCGAAGAUUGCCUGAAUGACAGGGGUUCUUGUAGAUGUGCUCAAUGGUGGGGGGAGGGGGGCUUUAGCUGUGAUUGACUGGGUUGUAUCCACUACAUUUUGUUGGCUUUUCCAUUCAAAGACGAUCAAAGCCAUUCCUCUGUGUCCUGGAGUCCCGGAACAAGGCCAAUUCCCUCAUUCCAGCAAGUAAAGCUCUGGAUACUUAAGCGGUUACUAGAUGGUAAAGCUGGGCACCUUGCUGAAUGCAAAUUUUUCUACAUUUUCAGAUGUUCCUUAAAAGAAAACUGUCAAAUGUUUAAUAGUGCCUCAUGUGACUCGGUAUCAGGUUUCAUCUGAUAAUGAUCCAAUGAAAUGCUUGGUGUGUUUUCCACUUUUAGAGGGACUAUGCAAAUACAAGUAGUUAUUAAUUGUGACAGUUCUUGGACUGGAGGCGUUUAUUUCUGGUGGGGAGUGUGGGGGAAGACAAGAAAGGAAUAAAGUGCAGUGAGAUGUUAGAUUUAGAACCCUAAAUCAAAUAAUGAACGACAGAUGAAGUUAUGCAAUUUGCUUUGGGUUAGUAUAUCCCAAAAUGCAAUUUAAGAUUUAUUAAUGUUUCAAUCAAUUACUGCUGGUUUGGCUGACUAUCCUAGUUUAAUCUUGCUUGAGAAAUAUAGAUAAAGGAGGUGAUGGAAGGGAGCAAUAAUGCUGGAUGAUUCAGUAGGAAAGAGAAUGCCAAUAUGUUAUACUCGAUAAAUAUCCUGCUAAUAACAUAAUUAAUAUCUCAAAUAGUAUCUGGAAUGAAGGCAGAAAAGAAGGUGUUGUUAUUCCACGUGUCCUGGACAAUAUCCCAUGCCACAUCUGUGAAACAAACUUAAUUUAUUAGUUACUAUGGAGGAGCAUGUUGUUUGGAGUCAGUCGCCACAUUUCCAAUACACUCACUGGCCAGUUUAUUAACUACUCCUGUACAUUUGCUUGUUAAUGCAAAUAUCUAAUUAGCCAAUCAUGUAGCAGCAACUCAAUGUAUGUUCAUGAUCUUCUGCUGCAGUAGCUCAUCCACUUCAAGGUUCAAUGUGUUGUGUGCUCAGAGAUGCUCUGCUCCACACCAUUGCUGUAAUGUGUGGUUAUCUGAGUUACUGUCAGUUUGAACCAGUCUGGUCAGUCUCCUUUGACCGCUCUCACUAACAAGGCGUUUUUGCCCACAGAACUGCUCACUGAAAGCUUUUUGUUUUUUUGCACCAUUCUCUGAAAACUCUGCAGAUUGUUGUGCUUGAACAAUCAGCAGUUUAUGAGAUACUCAAACCACCCCGUCUUAUCACCAGCAUUCAUUCCGUGGUCAAAAUCAUGCCAAUUACAUUUCUUCCCCAUUCUGGGAAUGCCCGUGCCCGCAUGCUUUUGUUCAUUGAGUUGCUGUCAAAUGAUUGGCUGUUUAGCUAUUUGCAUUAACAAGCGGGUAUACCUAAUAAAGUCGCCAUUGAUAAGUUGUCCAACACGGAUGGUGUUCCUGGAUGGGACUUGCCAUGUACACAAAGUAGUUAUAAGGGCAGAGAUUAAAGAUACUGCAGAAUUUAACUCACCUCCUAACUAAUUGGAACACUCAAGAAGCUGGACACCAUACAGUACGUAGGAACCAAGUUGAUAGGCAGCCAUCCACAGCCAGUCACUCACACCUCACUCCAAGAGCUGUGAUGGUAGAGAAACAUACAUUAGGGUAAUUUAUGAAACUUGUAGAUAGAAAAAUAAGGGCUAUGUAGGAGGGAAAGGUUAGAUUGAUCUCAUAUGUUAAAAGGUUGGCACAACGUCAGCCGAAGGUCCUGGUCUGUGUUGUGCUUUUCAUUAAUGCACAGUAGCAGUUUUUUUUAAACCAUAUACUGGGUGUACUGCAGCAACUCACUGUGGGGGUAGCAUAGAGUUAGCACAACACUUUACUGUGCUGGCAACCCGAAUUCAGUUCCCAUCACUGCCUGUAAGGAGUUUGUAUGUUUUUCCCGUGACCGCAUGGGUUUCCUCUGGGUGCGCCGGUGUCCUCCCACAGUCCAAAGACAUACCAGUUGAUAGGUUCAUUGGUCAUUGUAAAUUGUCCCAUGAUUAGUCUCUCAUUAAGUCAUGGAAUUUCUGUGCGGCACAGCUGAAAAGGCCUAUUCCACGCUGUAUCUCAAUAAAUAAAUAAGGUCUCCUUGGGCAGCACCUUCCAAACCCACAAUCUCUACCAGAUAGAAAAAGGCCAGUAAAUGUACGGGACACAGCACCACCUAGAAGGUCCCCUUGUACCUACACAGGAGCUGACUCAGAAAUAUAUUGCCGUUUAUUCACCGUCUCUAGGUUGAAACCUGGAGCUCUCUCCCUAAUAUCAUGUGGGGAUAUCCACGUGUCAAGGACUGCAGCAGUUCAAAACGACAGUUUGCCACCACUUUCUCAAGGGCAGCUUGCCAAUUAACUUCAGUCUGUGAAACUCACAUCCAUUGAAUGAAUUCAUAAAGCCUUUACAUGACACAUGACCAAGAUCUAGUCUAGUCAUCCAUCAUCACAAUGCACCAAUUACAAACAGAAGAGAUUUUGCAGAUGCUGGAAAUCCAGAGCAAAGCACACAAAAUGCUGGAGGAAAUUAGCAGGUCACGCAGCAGCUAUGUGCAGGAAUAAACAGUGAAAGUUUUGGGCUGAGAUCUUUCAUCAGGACCUUACAUCAUAGUUUAGAUGAAGUGUCUUUGCCCAAAACAUGAACUGUUUAUUCCACUCCAUAGAUGCUGCCUGACCCGCUGAGUUCCCCCAGCAAUUGGUUUGUGUUGCACCAAUUACAAAAACCUCUUUAUCACCUAAUAGAAUAUCAAAAUACUUUUGCACAGUACUGUAGAUAGAGAGGAUGAUUCCUGCAGUGGGAGAGUUUAGAACCAGAGGGCACAUCCAUUUAGAGCAGAGAUGAGGAGGAAUUUCUUUAGCCUGAGGAUGGAGUUCAUUACCACAGGUGGGUGUGGAGGACAAGCCAUUGGGUAUACUUAAAGAAGACUUUGAAUAGUAAGGCUGUGAAAGGUUACAGGGAUAAUAAGUUGAGAGGGGUAAUAAAUCAGCCAUGAUGGAAAGGCACAGCAGACUCGAUGGGCUGAAUGGCCAUGUGUUUUAUAGUCUAAAAAAUCAUAUAGAGAGUAGUUCAAAUCUAGUAAUGGGUGGAGGAUAUCAGUUACACUCAGCACAUUCAAGAUGCUUUGAGAUGAGUUCCCUGAAAUAACAUUGAAGGUUGUAGACCACCUGCUGGAAACUGGGAUGAAUAUAGACAAGUACUUUAUGAUGAACAUAGACACGGAGAGCCGAAGUACCUGUUCUUUGUUGUAUAAUUCUAUAACUCAUUGCUCAGAGCCUCGUAAUCUGCUUGGCGGAUCUCUCUUUGGAAUCAAUAAAGGGCAGCCAUACCUUGAUUUGCAGAGGAGAUAAGUUCCUAGUAUUUGUUUCUUUGGUGAAAACUUGUAAACUGGUUGGUGAGUGUGGAAUGAGCUGCCUGCGAAGUGCUGGAUGUGGGGUCAAUUUCAACAUUUAAGAGAAAUGUGGGUAGUUACAUGGAUGGGAGGGCACUGGAGGGCUGUCGUCUGGGUGCUGGUUGAUGGUACGAGGCAUAGUAAUUGUUUAGCGUGGAAUAGAUGGUCUGAAGGUCCAGUUUCUGUACUGUGGUGUUCUAUGAUUAUGGUUCAGAUGUAUUAUGGGUGUUUUGGUCCAUGUUUUGCAAGUUUAAUUUUUAAAAUUUAUUUAUUGAGAUCCAGCGCAGAGUAGGCCCUCCCAGCCCUUCGAGCUGCACAGCCCUGCAAUCCCUCAAGUUAGUCCUAGCCUAAUCACGGGACCACUUACAAUGACCAAUUAACCUACUGACUGAUACAUCACUGGACCACCGUAGGAAAAUGGAGCACCCAGAGGUGAAGCACGCGGUCAUGGGGAAAACGUACACACAGCAGCAAGAAUUGAACCCUGGUCACCUGUACUGCAAAGAGUCGUGCUCACCGCUGUGCUACCGUUUGACCCCGUGGGUGAAGAAAGGCAUACUAUUUGUUGCAGCGAUGAAUCGCUUUAACAUAGAAUAAUUGGCAUUAGAAAAAAAAUGCAUAAACAGAAUUUGGUAAACUGGUAUUGGUCCUUUACUGUCACAAGUACUGAGCCGAAGUUGUUUUGUGUGCCUACCAAACAGACCAUGCCACAUAUCAAUACAUCAACAGAAUAAAAGGAAUACAGAAGUUAUUGAGCAACAAACACAAAAUGCAUACUUUGAUUAUAAAUUUACGUUGAACUUUUGAACACACGUAUUUCCUCAGAGAUUAGAUCAGAGGUUUGGCUCAUGGAAGAAAACAAAUUGGAAGACAAUGUGGGAGAGAAUAGUCAGAUCGAUCUUAGCGUAGGUUAAAAGAAACACACAUAAAAUGCUGGAGGGACCCAGCCAGGCCAGGCUGCGACUAUGGACAGGGAUGGAGUCGAUGUUUUGGGACAAGACCCUUCUUCAGUACUGAAAAGGAAAGAGGAAGAAGCCAGAAUAAGAAGGUGGGGGAGGAGAAAGACUACAAUUUGGCAAGUGAUAGGUGGGAAUGUAAGUUGGGGGGAAUGGGAGGUGUGAAGUGAGAAGUUGGGAGGUGAGAGAUGGAAGAGGUAAAGGGCUGAAGAAGAAAAGAUUUGAGUGGACCAGAGGUGAAAGGAAAAGAGGAGGGGCGCCAGAGGGAGGUGAUGGGCAGGUGAGGAGAAGGGAAUGGGUAAGAGAUGAGCCAUAAUGGGGAAUGGAAAACAAGUGAAGAGGAAGACGGUCAAAAUUACGGUAAGUUUUAGAAAUCAAUGUUCAUGCCAUCGGGUCGGAGGCUACCCAAAAGGAUUAUGAGGUAUUGCUCCCCCAACACCUCAUAUUGCAUCUGGAUGGCCUCCCGAAAAAAAAGACACCACAUACUGUAUUCUGUGACCUGAUUCUGAUCCUGAAGUCUCCAUUCUGCUCCAGUGUAGGAAGUGGGAUUUGAAGGGACAGCAUUCUGACAUCAAGACCACCCACUGCUGAUGCUCAAUUCACACUCAAUCUAUUGUGUCUGACAGAAUCUUCCACAACAGCUAUCCAAUUAACUAUCCCCACCAGAAAUGAGCUCACACCUUCAGAGAAAGCCAUGGAGGUGGGGAGACAUCAAAAUUAAACUGCUUAUGAUCUAGAUAGUUUGAUAGCUCAGAUUGAGGUGGAUUGUAGUUGGUUUUUUUUGCGUGACCUUGAACAAUCUGUGUUUGUAAGCUGCUGUGUGGUCUUUGUCAAGAGGGACAUUUACCUCAUGUACAUUUCCAUUUAAUUUGUUUUGAGGAAAGGAUUACAAUCAGGUUUAUUAUCACAGAUGUUAUGAAAUUUGUUGUUUUACAGCAGCAGUACAAUGCAGUACAUAAAAAUUACUAUAAAUUACGAUAAGAAAUAUGAGAAGUAAAUAAAUAGUGCAGAAAGAGUUAAUUAGUGAGGUAACACACACGAAAUGUUGGAUUCAGCAGGUCAGGCAGCAUAUAUGGAAAUAAAUAAGCAAAUAUGAGAAAGUCUAUAUAUGCUGGAAAGCAGAACUUCUCAGUGGCCAAUCAUUUUAAUUCCCACUCCCAUUCCCAUUCUGACAUGUUGAUCCAUGGCCUCCUCUUGUGGCACAAUAAGGCUACCCUCAGGGAUGAGAAACAACACCUUAUAUUCCAUCUUAGUGGCCUCCAACCUGAUGGCAAGAAAAUCAAUUUCUCCUCCAGGUAUACAAAUUUGCACCCCCCCCCCCAUUCCCCACACUGACCUUUCACUUUUUCUCACCUGCUUAUUACUUCCCUCUGGGUCCCCUCCUUCCCUUUCUCCUCUGGUCCCCGUUCUCCUCUCCUAUCAGAUUCUUUCUUCUCCAGCCCUUGACCUUUUCACCUGGCUUCACCCAUCACCUUCCAGCUAGUCUCUUUCCCCUCCCCCCAACUUUUUAUUCUGGCAUAUUCCCCCUUCUUUCUCAGUCCUGAAGAGGGGUAGCGGCCCAAAAUGUUGACUGAUUAUGCAUUUCCAGAGAUGCUGCCGGAACAGCUUAGUUCCUCCACCAUUUUGUGAGUGUUGUUUUAGAUUUCCAGCAUCUGGAGAAUUUCUUGUGUUCAAAAUAGUGAGGUAUUGUUCAUAAACCUGAUGGUAGAGGGGUAGAAGCUGUUCCGAAAAGAUUGAACCUAUGUUGCCAGACUCCUGUACAUUCUCCCUGAUGCUGGUAAUGAGAAGAGAGUAUGCCCUGGACGAGGGUCUGCAGUGAUGGAUGCUGGCUUCUCAAGGUACUAACUUUUGAUGAUGGAGAGAUUAGUGGCCAUGAUGGAGCUGGCUGAUUCGACAACCCUCUGCAGCUCUUUUCAAUUCUGUGCACUAGUCUCUCAAUACCUGGUGGUGAUGCAACCAAUCAGAAUGCUGUCCACUGCGCAUCUGUUGAAAUGUGUUAAUCCUUGGUGACAUAUCAAAUCUCCUCCAACUGCCAUUGAAGUAUAGCCACUGGUGUGCCUUCUUUCUCAUUGCGUCAAUAUAUUGGGCUCAAGAUAGAUACUUUGAGAUGUUCAAAAAGUUCAAAGUAAAUUUAUUAUCAAACUACAUAUAUGUCACCAUAUACAACUCUGAGUUUCAUUUUCUUGUGGGCAUACUCAACAAGUCUAUAGAAUAAUAACCAUAAUAGAAUCAAUGACAGAACACACCAACUUGGGCACCCAACCAGAGUGCAGAAGACAGCAAUCAGUGCAAAUAGAAAAAGGAAGAAAUAAUAAUAAUAAUAAUAAAUAAUAAAUGUAAAGAAAAUUUGAUGAAGUGUCAUUGAAAGUGAGUCCAUUGUUUGUGGGAACAAUUCAAUUAUGGGGCAAGUGAAAUUAUCCCCUUUGGUUCAAGAGCCUGAUGGUUGAGGGAUGGUAACAAGAUGGGUAACCCCAGCCAUUAUCAAUGCACUUCAGAGAUUGCCUGGCGUCAAUGGUCACAUAACCAGGACUUGUGAUAUGUACCAGCUGCAUCAUAAGACCAUCCACCAACUGCUGGUGUGAACCUGAUGGUGUGAGUCCUGAGGCUCCUGUACCUUCUUCCUGAUGGCAGCAGUGAGGAGAGAGCAUGACCUAGAUGGUGGGGAUCCCUGACGAUGGAUGCUGCUCUCCUGAAAUAGUGUUUCAUGUAGAUAUGCUCAUUGGUGGGGAGGGCUUACCCAUGAUGGACUAGGCCUUGUCCACUACUUUUUGUGGGAUUUUCCAUUCAAGGACAUUGGUACUUCCAUACCAAGCUGUGAUGCAGUCAGUCAAUAUAACUGGCAAUGAGGAAGUAGAGGCUGUCUUCAUAAUCACACUUAUGUGCUGGGCCCAGGGGAGGUCCUUUGACACCCAGGAACUUAACACUGCUUACCACUUAAUGAGGACUGCUGCUCAUUCUCCUGGCUCCCCUUCCAGAUGUCCACAAGCAAGUGCUUGGUCUUAGUGACAUUGAGUGGCAGGAUGUCGAUGCUUGGUCCGGAUUAAACACAUGCGUGCAGGCAGAGGCGCAUUUGAGCUAACAUUAUACAUUCAGUGUCCAUAUAAGCCUCAUUCCUGGCAGGACUGCUCCUUUCCUUCCUCAUCAUUGUGUUCCAUGUCGUGUGACAUAGGCAGUCAUGGUCUCAUGGGCAUGAUUGUUCUUGGCAAAAUUUGUCGACAGAAGUGGUUUGCCAUUGCCUUCUUCUGGGCAGGUGACCCCAGCCAUUAUCAAUGCACUUCAGAGAUUGUCUGUCUGGUGUCAGUGGUCACAACACCAGGACUUGUGAUGUGCACCGGCUGCUCAUACGAGCAUCCACCACCUGCUCCCGUGGCUUCACAUGUCCUUGACUGAAGGGUUAAGCAGGUGCAACACUUUAGGCAAGAGAACCUGCAGUCUAGCGGUGGGAAGGAGCACCUUACUCCUCCUUGAUAGACACGUAUCUCCACCCCACCACCCCACUUUCCUUCGAGGCUGGUUCCUUGUUCUGGGCGGUGAAUUUUCUCUGGGCUUUUUAUCACAUUUGUUGCGACUGCUGAAAUUGAUGAGACCAGUGUACUGGGACCAGAAAGGAGUCCUUUAGUCAUGAGCAGCAAGUUAGUCUUGAUGGAUUGGUCAGGCUGGGUUACUGACCAUCUGUUCAUCGUUGUGUUUGGCAGAGGGGCGAGGAACAAUUGUGUUAGGGUUGGCUUGUAAACAGAGCUAUAAAAGUAACCCUUCUACCCCACAUGUUUGUAGUUUAAUAAUGCUUUCAAGUAGAGAUUGAAAUUAGUAUUUUGUAAGUCAUGCAGCACAGUAACAGACUUUUCAGCCCAGUGUUUCCAUGCUAACGAAGGUGUCCACCAAACUAGUCCCAUUUGCCUGAUUUGGCCCAUCUCCUUCCAAACCCUCCUAUCCAUGUAUUAAGCCAAAUGUCUUUUAAGUGUUAUCAUGGUACCUACCUCAACCAUUCUCUCCGGUAGCUCAUUCCAAAUCGCUGCUGAGGCCUCACUAGCAGUAUUGUGAGCAGUUUUGGAUCUGUUUUCUCAGAGAGGAUGUGCGGACACUGGAGAUAGUUCAAAGGAGGUUCACGAGAAUUAUUACAGGGUUGAAAGGAGCAUUUGCCAUAUGUAGAGCAUUGGAUGGUUCUGGGCUUCAAUUCAAGAGAAUGAGGGGGGACUUCAUUGAAAUCUUUCGAAUGUUGAAAGGCCCGGAUAGAAUGGAUAUGGACAGUCUGUUUCCUAUGGUGGGGGAAUCUAAGACCAGAGGAUACAGCCUCAAAAUAGAGGGGCAUCCUUUUAGAAUGGAGAUGAGGAGGAAUUUCUUUAGCCAGAGAAUGUUGAAUCUGUGGAAUUCAUUGUCACAGGCAGCUGUGGAGGCCAGGUAAUCGGGUAUAUUUAAGGUAUUUAAGUUGCCAUUCCUUGAGACCUCUUAUUUUAUAUACCGCUGUGAGGUCACCUCUCAGUUUCCUAUGUUUCAAGAACUAAAGUCCAGCUUGCCCAACCUCUCCCUUAUAACUUUUGAAUAUUUAGCAGUCAAAGGUUGCUAUGUUGCCAUUGGCAACACUGUGAUAGGUACUGAAUAGAGUCUAGGGUGGGGAGGAUGACUGGACGUUCAGCAAACAGAUGAUCGCACAACAAAACAAAGUUAUUUCACUUGGAAAACUGUUGUGCUGGAGAAACUCCCUUAAAGCAGCACACACACAAAACCGCUGGAGGCACCCUGUAAGUCAGGGAGCAUUUAUGGAAAGGCAUAGUCAGAACGGGAAAGGAAUGGGAAAGACUACAAAAUGAGAUGCUGGGGCAAUGGGAAGGAGGAUAGUUAGAAGGAGAUAGCUGAAUCCAGGCGGGAAGAAAAGGUACAGGGCUGGAGAGGAAGGAAUCUCUUUAACGAGUGAUGUAAUUAGGGCUGAUCAAUCCAAGAAAUGCAGGGCGUGGCUAAAUGUUGCACAGGUAGUGUGCUUCAUAUCAGUUUCAGCAGCCUGAGGAACUCAUGAUAGCAAUGUGGCCUGGUAGUGUAGAGGUUAGUGUAACACUUUACAGCACAAGCCGUGAGAUCGCGGCUCAGUUUCUGCCGCAGUCUAUAAGGCGUUUGUAUGUUCUCCCCCCCAACUGCAUUCGGUUUCCUCCCAGAGAAGGAGAUAAUGGUUGGUGGGUUAAUUGGAUUUUGUAGAUUGUCCCGAGAUUAGGGUAGGGUUAAGUAUGGGUGCAGCUCGAAAGGCCGGGAGGACCUGUUCCGUGCAGUAUCUCAAUAAAUGAAUAAAUUACCGCUUACUACCUUCAGAUUCAUUUUCUUGCAGGCAUUUACAGGAAACGUAAUUUCCCCCAGGAUCAAUAAAGUAUGACUAUGACUAUGUAACAGAUUAUAAUAACUAUGCACAAAGACUGACAACAGCCAGUGUGCAAAAGAAGACAAACUGUGCAAAUAGUGAGAUACUGUGAGAGCAUGAAUUGCAAUAGUGAGAGCAGGAGUUGUAAAGAGUCCUUGAAUAAGAGUCUGCAGUCACAAAAUCAGUUCGGAAAGUUAUCCAUGCCUCUUCACGAACCUGGUGGCUUUAGGUGAACGCAGCAGGCCAGGCAGCAUCUAUAGGAAGAGGUAUAGUCAACGUUUCGAGCCGACACCCUUCGUCAGCACUAACUGGAAGAAGAUAUCUUUUUUUACGUGUGUUGCUUGAAAUCCCAGCAUCUACAGAUUUCCUCGUGUGUGCGGCUUUAGGGUAAUAUCAGUUCCUGAUUGAUUACUGUAGAAUGCCGGAAUAAUUCAAGCCAGUGGCACUGAUUAAUACCAUUAAAAUGAUGUUUCUUUAUAAAGAGGGAAUCAAUCCUAAUUUUUAAGGUUUCUGCAGUUCACUAUUAUAAUAUUGGCUACAAUACGUAACAAAUAGAAAGUAUAUGGCCCCUCCCUCUACCUUUUUAUUCUGGCAUGUUCCCUUUUCCUUUCCAGUCCUGGAGAAGGGUUUUGGCCUGAAAUGUCGAUUGUUUAUUCAUUUCUAUAGAUGCUGCCUAAACUACAGAACUCCUCCAGCAUUUUUGUGUCUUGCUUCGCAGAAUUUCUCCUGAAAAAGGAUAUGGUGCAGGUCAACCCAAAUGGUUUUAAUUGGUUUAUAAACUAAUGUUAAAAAACAUCAGACUUGAGGAUGACAUUUGUACUGCAACAUUAAAGGAAUUUUACACCCUUUUGCCUGCCAUUUGGCCUUUAUUGUUGACUUGGCUCCUGAAUUAAUUAGUGGCUUGCAUAACUGAGGGUCUGGAGAUUCUUUGUGGCAUCACCUUAUUGGUUUGAUCCUCUGCUGCCUAGUUCACAGUGUGGAGCUUGAUCAGUGACUGAAUGCAUUGUUCCACAGGCAAAGCGGAAUGAGGUCGUGAAGUAAUGAGUUUGACAGGACGUGGUUUAAUUAGGUGCAAAUGUGGCCCUGCUAAUCUGGUUGGGGUUGUGUUCGUCCUUUGUCUGUGCAGCUUGAUCCACAGAAAGGUUAUGGGUUUGAGGAAUCUCUGGAAUGUAGCUGUCUGCAUCUCUUUCAUCCUUUUCAUUGAAAGACAUGCGUGCACACACACACACACACACACACACACACACACACACACAUACACACACACAACCACAAAAUGGAAUACAUUUUUAUUAGAACAACACACACAAAU